GGUGGAAGAAAUGACAGAGGGUCAGAGCAGAUUCAGGCACAUGACAGUUGAAAUGGGAGCAGAACAGGAAAGCUCUCUGCUUUUUAUGCACCCAGGUCCAGAAAGCAUUGUAACAUGUCCCAGCCCACUCCUUUGGGAAGGAUUCAGAGCCCAAAAGCAGCCAGGUAAAGACACCAAAACAUCAACAAUGUUUUCAAAUACCCUGAAAUCUGUCUUCUUUUAAAACAGCCCUUGCAUCUGCUGUUCAGGCCUGAGGACAGCCCAGUUUUAUUCAUGCUUCUCUUCCACAACAUUUCUCCUGUCAAGUCUGAAGACCUGCUCUGACCACCCUGGGGUGGCUGUGACACAUCACACCCUAGGGAACAAAGCCAUUUCUAACUAACAGCCUGCAGCAGGAAGAGGAAACAAGCUGGUGAAGAACACAGGGUUUGAAAGAGGUGGCAGCACUACCAGAGCAGAAGCACAAGAAGCCAAAGACCCAAAAUCCAAGAAAUGUAGGAAAACAAGUCUGGAGACCUGCUGCAGUCUAAGACACAGUAAUCUCACCUGCACCAUUUCAGAAAUAAAAGCCUGUUUCAAAAACAAAGCCAAAGGACUUGACCAUUGGCUCUUGCUUUAAAAAGUGAAAACACCUAGAAUAUUUUUACAAUAUUUUCAAAUUUCAAACUUCAACAACUAGAACAGUUAGCAUAGGACUGACUCGACUCAUUGACACAACAGAUUUGAAGUUAGCAGUUGAUAGCAUCAGUUUUUAGAGACUCGCCCCCCUCAAAUGAUACCUGGGGAACGGUGGAAGGGUGAAAAGCAUGAAGGCAUCUUACAAAGCCCUUUUUUCCCACCAUAGCCCCACAAUACCUGUCAGUAUGAAGAUGAGAUGAAGGAAGCAAAAAAGUGACAAGUGUUUCAAGAGUACCAGCAGCUCCAUCAGCUGAUGUUCUCAAAGCCACCCAGCUGAAAUGGGCGCUAUCUGCAGGCAUCUAAGAGCCCCUGAGAUGGGCCAAAACACCAUGUCCAAACAGGACAAUAACUGACAAAAUAAGAGAAAUCACAAAAUUUGGCUCUUUUCAGUGUUUCACCACGAGCAGCCUCCAAAACUUUUAACCCCACUUGGUAUGUUACUGUAUCAGGGUUCCUGUAUAAAUGCAAACUGAUACAAUGCUCCAGAGCUGCACAUCAAACAAUUCCCCAGCCAAGCAGGUGCAGGAGGAAAGACUGUGGACACCAUCUGCCCACUGGUACUUCAGACAGAAGUUGAUCCAGACGAAGUUCUCUGCUGACACUUACCUCUCCCACCCCCAUUUCCAUGGGAACAGACACUGCAUCAGCCAAGACAAAGCAAGAACUACUAACCCAGCUCACGUUGCCAAAGACAGAGCCAAUGCAAACGAGUGAGAGGAAAUUAAUGCCAGUUCUUAGUCUCCUGUUU